rnacentral:rRNA from 1 species
UACAGAGGUCCCGAGCGUUGUUCGGAUUCAUUGGGCGUAAAGGGUGCGUAGGUGGGCAGGUAAGUCCGUGGUGAAAUCUCCGGGCUCAACCCGGAAACUGCCAUUGAUACUAUCAGUCUUGAAUAUCGUGGAGGUAAGCGGAAUAUGUCAUGUAGCGGUGAAAUGCUUAGAUAUGACAUAGAACACCAAUUGCGAAGGCAGCUUACUACCCGAAUAUUGACACUGAGGCACGAAAGCGUGGGGAUCAAACAGG